AGUGCUUUUCGGUGUUGGUUACGACCGGAAAGCUCCUAUUCCAGUGGGAGACCAGCACCCGCCGCACUGGGCCCGUGUCCAUCCCUAGGGGACCGGCUGCCGUGCCCUCAGUCCAGGGGGAAGGGAGCAGGCAUGGGGGGUGGGGCGGCGCGCCAGUGCCCCAGGACAGGCGCCCCCCCCGACCCCACGGCGACACGAAUCCCCGAGGGACACGACUGCCAGCCCCGUGCACCGAGCCCGGGGGGAGGGGGCCGUGGCGCCACGGAGUGGGACCGCGGAAGGAGGCCGGCCGCACCGACGUCUGCCGUCCACUCCCCGCAGCGCUGCUGUGUCUGAACGUGAGGCCCUCCCCUGCUGCCUACUAGAAGGAGGACCAAGGAGGAAGGGCCUGGCCUCAGACGUCACACGUCACGUGUGUCCGGGAGAAAGAUUUUAGAACAAGUGACACCAAGGCAAGAGGACAUUCUGCAAAAGUCACUCCCGCAAAGGCUGCUGGACAGGACGUGCCGUGACCUGGUCUCGGCUGUCCCGG